rnacentral:rRNA from 1 species
ACAACAGUCAGAAAUGACUGCUAAUACCGCAUAAGCACACAAUGCUGCAUGGCAUGGUGUGAAAAGAUUUAUCGGCAUACGAUGGCCCCGCGUCUGAUUAGCCAGUUGGCAGGGUAAUGGCCUACCAAAGCAACGAUCAGUAGCCGGCUUGAGAGAGUGACCGGCCACAUUGGGACUGAGACACGGCCCAGACUCCUACGGGAGGCAGCAG